UAUAUUUAGCCAGAGUCCCUAUGAAGAGAGAUAUUAACUAAUUUAUAUCAAUGAUUGACACUUUACCAUCAUAAAAGUUUAAAAGUGUCACUUGCAAAUAAACAAAUAAUGAUAAAAUCAGAAAGAAGAAACGACCAACAACAUAGCCAUAGAUUAAGAAUGUGCGUCUCCAUUUUCAAAGUCAAUAAGCAUAGGUAUAAGACUCAUCAAAUAAACAAAAAUCUGAAAGUCCCUACCCAUACUUCAGAAUUUUUUCAGUUUAAUAUUCUAAAAGCAGCAUCAGAAAGCAGAGAUCAAGAUAACAUCAAUAUGCAGACCUCAUUAAGGACACAUAAGUCAUCCUGUCCAAGUCUAAUUAGAGACCACAUUCACCAGACAUAAACUCCCAAAAGCAUAUCUCAAAAUUCUCUACAGAAAAUAUUGAAAAAGUGAAGGAUAAGAAACCAUGGGGAGGUUUAAUUUUGGUCAUGUUAAACUAAUAUAUGAGGAAAGUUUAAGAAAAAUACAGCACCAAUGAAGAAAAAUUAUUUGAGUUGAAGUGAAU
rnacentral:misc_RNA from 1 species